rnacentral:rRNA from 1 species
UACGGAGGAUGCGAGCGUUAUCCGGAUUUAUUGGGUUUAAAGGGUGCGCAGGCGGCACGGCAAGCCGGCGGUCAAAUCGCGGGGCUCAACCCCGCCCAGCCGUCGGAACUGCCGGGCUAGAGUGGGCGAGAAGUGCGCGGAAUGCGUGGUGUAGCGGUGAAAUGCAUAGAUAUCACGCAGAUCUCCGAUUGCGAAGGCAGCGCACCGGCGCCCUACUGACGCUCAGGCACGAAAGCGUGGGUAUCGAACAGG